UACGUAGGGUGCGAGCGUUUGUCCGGAAUUAUUGGGCGUAAAGAGCUCGUAGGCGGUUUGUUGCGUCGGCUGUGAAAUCCCGAGGCUCAACCUCGGGUCUGCAGUCGAUACGAGCAAACUAGAGUGUUGCAGGGGAGACUGGAAUUCCUGGUGUAGCGGUGAAAUGCGCAGAUAUCAGGAGGAACACCGGUGGCGAAGGCGGGUCUCUGGGCAACAACUGACGCUGAGGAGCGAAAGCGUGGGGAGCGAACAGG
rnacentral:rRNA from 1 species